GUCCAUGCGACGACCAUGGACAUAAUAAAGGCGACGAGCCUUCUUUCCGAUUAAACGGUAAACAUGGCGUCAAGCGGUUCAACUGUUGGUUCACGUUGGUCCCAUAGAGAAGUCGAGUGUCUGUUAGCCAUUUGGGCAGACGAUGCUAUUCAGGCACAGUUGGAGAAGACCCUCAAGAAUUCCGAUGUAUUUGGGAGAAUCCGCCAAAUUGGUAAUAUUUCAGAGAUUCAGCCCUGUCUUGACAUACAAAGAGACCAGUUACAGUUGCAGAUCUCCUUCGGAAUCCCGCGCAGGGAUAUUGCAAGACCUUUCGGGUUGUCUUUGGAAACUCUCCAUUGCAGGAUUGCCCUGUGGGGACUAAGUUUAAUCUAGUGUGUGACGACAGCGGUUUAAAUGAGGCAACCCUCACAUGGGAGGACUUCUGCUUGGAGGGCUGGUAUUUGGAGCAACGGCUGUAAGGUUUGGCCGCCGGUAUGUUGCCCUGCUCAGUUUGUUUCUCCAGCUCUUGUUUGGUGUUGCCUCUGCUUUCUCACCAAACAUCUAUGUUUACAUUGCACUUCGAUUUGUCCUUGGUGCCGCAGUUUCUGGUGUUUGGAUUAAUUCUUAUGUCAUAGGUAAGUAGAUGUACUGUCCUUAUUUUCUUCUAAUCAGGUCAAUUCAAGAAGAUAUUGUAUUAAUCAUGUAUUAUUACUUAUUUAAUAAUGAUAAAUAAAUGAAUCAUUGAUGAUUAAAUUAUUUUUGAAUUGAUUGGCAUCUAGUGGUAGAGGCCAAUCAUUUUUAGUAUUUUGUUCUCAUUCUUCUCUCAUUUACUUGUAUAUCAUAUGCCAGGGACAGAUAUUUCAGUGAAAUGACUUGUAUUUUGGUUGUUUUAUUGCUUUAAAGGGGUUGAGUGGACCUGUACCUCAAAACAGGGUUUUGUCACUAUCUCUUCACUUUCCUUUUUUUCUGUUGGACUGAUGUUGAUGUCAGGCGUUGCCUAUUUUGUCGUCGAUUGGAAGAUUCUACACCUGGUGUUUUCAAGCCCUUUGAUCCUGUUACUUCUAGCCGGAUACUGGUCUGUGAACCCUUCUUCUGACUAUCUUAAGUAUAUCACAGUUAAUCAUGUUUAUCAGGUCAAAUUGACGUUUUGCGCAACAUCAAGUGAUAAGUCAAUUCCUUUUGACUUGAAUCAUUUACCACAACAAAAUGCAGUGUCAUAAAAGUAAAGGAUCUUUAUGAGACCUUUCAACCUUUAGCUUUUUAGAUUAAUUUAUUUAUAAAAAAUGCACCAUGACAUUUCUAAAGCUUAUAAAUCUGCAAUUUUCUGCGACCCCAGGUGGGUUUGCAGAAAAUGUAUGUGUGCAGAAAAUGUAUGUGUGCUGGCUAUUGUUGAGCAAUUUCUUUGGUUGUAAAAAAAAAAGCUCAUUGUGGAUUACUGUUGAUUGUGUAGUGGCCUUGUAAAAGUGUUUACUUGUAAUUAAAAAUAAAUGUCUAACUCAGUAUAGUUUAUGAGUGUUACAAAAUAAAUAUCCUUUGAAAAUGUCCAUCUAUGUUUUCUCUUGCUGCCUUUUGUUCCUGUCAGGCAGAGUGGGCUUGGUAUAAAUCUCAUGUGUGGUCGUAUUGGGGCCAUCCUAGCUCCUCUCAUCAGACUACUACAGGUAUACCACCCUGCCAUCCCUAUGGUGUUGUAUGGCACCUUUCCCUUAAUAGGCGGGUUGCUCUGCUUUCUGCUGCCCGAGACCCUCAAUAUGGAACUCCAGGACCACACAGAACAGAGGUCAGUACAUACGGUGGUUUUACAACAACGUACAUGGAGUGAGCAUGCGGUUCUGGGUUUCAACCCCAAUGUCUGCAGCAGUCUACCUUUAGGCAUAAGCCUUAAGCAAGAAUGACUAAAUACUAAAAUAAUAAGUGUGAUUUGAAAAUACCACCUUUUGUUAAACAAAAAAACUAAAACAAAUAUUACCUUAUUCAAGAUUUCAUUUUUGGUAUUUUUUUAGAAAACAACCAGAUGGGAGUUCUGAAGUCAUUCAUUGAAGUCACAAAAUAUUUAAGGAUUUGAUUGAAUGUGAAAACUUAAAUCUGCAAGACUAUUUUGACUUACUUUAUAAAUAUAUAGUUGUUAGAUUGACAAAAUUGGUUCUUCUCUGGAUGGUUUCAAAUAGGCAUAGUUUGAGAAGAAACAUUGCACAUUAUCAAAUGUAAUCAUUCUUACAACAAUUCUUACAACUAACCCUACAAAACGAAUUUUUCGAAAAUAAAAUCAUUGGUAUGUUUCUGCAAUCCAUGUUGUUGUCGGAGUAACGAUCAUGUGAGGCUUUUUUUAAUGAAAAAUAGAUGUCCUGUAUAACAUUGCCUUAAAAUAAAGUACAAUUUGUUUGAUGCAUUGACACACCACAGAUUAGAUCAUUAUUACCUUGACACUACUUUUAAAUCACGUGUUACGCCUCAGAUUCAUGGACAGUAGUCUUCAGAAGCCAUUGGGUCUUGAGUUGUGUGUGACCGAAGCCCUUGUCGUAAUUUCCUUUUCUUUUAAACAGCUGCGGUUAGUGACAUAUGCAGUAGUGGCUGCCAUGCAGAGGGGUGUAACUUUGGGUGCUACAAUAGGACACAGGAUGUCAUUAACCUGUAGUUUAAUACCUUCAUUAUGGCAUAGUCCCUUCGGCCAAACCCCAGAGUCAGCCCUGGGGGAGGAGUCGG